rnacentral:tRNA from 1 species
GGGUCGGUGGUCUAGCUCGGUAUGACGGCUCCCUCACACGGAGCAGGACACCGGUUCAAAUCCGGUCCGACCCA